rnacentral:lncRNA from 1 species
CUAAGCUGAAAACCCAAAAAGGGCGGCUUAGACAAAAAUGGGUAAGCUCGCUAAGUUGAAAACCCGAAAGGGCAGCUUAGGCAAAAAUUAGAGCUUGAAAUAAAUAAAGUUGGAAAAUGCUUGGAAAGCUAAAUGAUUUUCUCAAUUUAAGCUAAAAAAGUCAAAUCUCAUUCCAAUAGCAGCCCAAAGUCAGGCGGAAAGCAAAAGAGUCCA